GACUAACGCUGGCGGCGUGCCUAACACAUGCAAGUCGAACGGGGUAGCAAUACCCAGUGGCAGACGGGUGAGUAACACGUGGUCAACCUACCUCUGUGUGGGGGAUAACUAGCCGAAAGGUUAGCUAAUACCGCAUACGAUCGUUUUGGGGCAUCCCGAGACGAUGAAAGGAGCAAUCCGCACGGAGAGGGGACUGCGUCCCAUUAGUUAGUUGGUGGGGUAACGGCCUACCAAGACUCCGAUGGGUAGCUGGCUUGAGAGAGCGACCAGCCACACUGGAACUGAGACACGGUCCAGACUCCUACGGGAGGCAGCAGUGAGGAAUUUUCCGCAAUGGGCGAAAGCCUGACGGAGCGACGCCGCGUGUGGGAAGAAGGCCUUCGGGUCGUAAACCACUGUCGAAGGGGACGAUACUGACGGUACCCUUGGAGGAAGCCCCGGCUAACUACGUGCCAGCAGCCGCGGUAAGACGUAGGGGGCAAGCGUUGUCCGGAAUUAUUGGGCGUAAAGCGCUCGUAGGUGGAUCAUCAAGUCUGCAAGCAAAGACCCGGGCUCAACUCGGGAAUCCGUGUGGA
rnacentral:rRNA from 1 species